rfam:Phytomonas sp. isolate EM1 genomic scaffold, scaffold_10
UCAUCUUGAUCUGUCUGGCACCUUGUCUGUACUUUUAUUUUCAAUGACGAUGCUGUGCUCGAAAGUUCAAGAGAGA